rnacentral:rRNA from 1 species
AGUGAACGCUGGCGGUAGGCCUAACACAUGCAAGUCGAACGGCAGCACAGUAAGAGCUUGCUCUUACGGGUGGCGAGUGGCGGACGGGUGAGGAAUACAUCGGAAUCUACUUUUUCGUGGGGGAUAACGUAGGGAAACUUACGCUAAUACCGCAUACGACCUACGGGUGAAAGCAGGGGAUCUUCGGACCUUGCGCGAUUGAAUGAGCCGAUGUCGGAUUAGCUAGUUGGCGGGGUAAAGGCCCACCAAGGCGACGAUCCGUAGCUGGACUGAGAGGAUGAUCGGCCACACUGGAACUGAGACACGGUCCAGACUCCUACGGGAGGCAGCAGUGGGGAAUAUUGGACAAUGGGCGCAAGCCUGAUCCAGCCAUACCGCGUGGGUGAAGAAGGCCUUCGGGUUGUAAAGCCCUUUUGUUGGGAAAGAAAAGCAGCAGGUUAAUACCCCGCUGUUCUGACGGUACCCAAAGAAUAAGCACCGGCUAACUUCGUG